AGGGUUUGACAUCCUGAGAACCUCUUAGAAAUUUGAGGGUGCCUUCGGGAAUUCAGUGACAGGUGGUGCAUGGCUGUCGUCAGCUCGUGUCGUGAGAUGUUGGGUUAAGUCCCGCAACGAGCGCAACCCACGUUUUUAGUUGCCAGCAUUUAGUUGGGCACUCUAGAAAGACCGCCGGUGAUAAACCGGAGGAAGGUGUGGAUGACGUCAAGUCAUCAUGCCCCUUACACCCUGGGCUACACACGUACUACAAUGCUACGGACAAAGGGCAGCAAACUCGCGAGAGCUAGCAAAUCCCAUAAACCGUGGCUCAGUUCAGAUCGUAGGCUGCAACUCGCCUACGUGAAGUAGGAAUCGCUAGUAAUCGCAGGUCAGCAUACUGCGGUGAAUACGUUCCCGGGCCU
rnacentral:rRNA from 1 species